GAUGCGGGAAGAGUGCAAAAAAAGAAUGGGUCACAUGGCGAUAUGAAAAUUCUAAUUUAAGUUCAAUGCUUUCGAUAAAUAUUUAUUUAUACGUUCAUACGUAUAUACACGCUGUGUAUAUUAUAUAUAUAUAUAUAUAUAUAUAUAUAUAUAUAUAUAUAUAUAUAAUAAAUUCGCGAAUGAUAUUGUCGAUCGACGAUGAUAUUUAGUAAAUUUAUCAAUCGAUGUGCACAGCAAAGCAGAAAGGGUGAUAGCAAUUAAAGAUGGAAGAGAAAGAAAAAAAGAAAGAGAGAGAGAGAGAGAGAGCAAGAGAAACAAAGAAAAGGAGAGAAAAAGGAAGUUGCUGCAAGGCGUGUGUCGUCGAGUAUGAAAGAGAUUUGUCAUCGCCAUGCGACGCACCGCCAGCUUACUCACCCCUGCCGCCCGCGUCCACAAGCGAGCUUGCAAUUUGAAUGGACCAUCACUUUUAUGCGGAACGAACAGUUGGCAAAAUAAUUCACAAAAAGUCAGCAUGAUGUCGAUGAGCGACGAGAGAGAAAGAAAAAGAGAAAGAAAGAGAGAGAGAGAAAGAGAGACAUUAGAGUCGAGUACUCGAACAAGUGUUAAAUUUUGUGUCUCAUUAUUAUUAUUAUUAUUAUUAUUAUUAUUAUUAUUAUUAUUAUUAUUAUUAUUAUUUUUAUUAUUAUUAUUAUUAUUAUUGAUUACCCUACGCUCGGACCGAUAGAUCAUUCAUAUAUCGUACUUGUUCGUCUACUUGACUUGGAGUACAUGAUCGAAUGGAAUGGAGCAAUCAGUGGUAAGCCUGCGAGCGCCGCAGCCAAAGAAUUCAAGUAACCAUAACACAACGUAUUGCCAGUGUUCGAAAUAUUAUCAUGUUUUAUGAACUAAGGGCGUGUAAAUAUGUACAAGGAUGGAUCUAGAGCGAAUGUGAAUCAUGUAUAAAUGAUGAAAUGGCAUGGCAAAAAGCCUCACAUUCUCGGAAAGUACAUAAAAGAAUCUUAUGGAUAAAAUGAUAAGUAGGAAGAGAUAUCGUUUAUAUGUUUCUUUUUUUCCUUUUUGUUUCCUUUUAUUGCCUUUUUUUUAUUUUUUUAUUUUUUUUUUCGUUGUAGAUGAAACAAUCGAGGGCACCGCCACUUAAGCCAGAAUUACCUGGAUGCAUUUUUAAAUACCGUUGGAAAUAGUUACUUGAAAAAAGAAGAGAAACACUUAUCUACGAAGUAAUAAGAAGUUCGAAACAUUCUUAUCUAUGAUGAAGUUUGCGAUCAGUAAAAACUAUCGAUUCGAGCACUUUCGAGCACUUUAGAAUGGUCAAAAGAGAAAGAAAGAGAUAGAUAGAUAGAUAGAUAGAUAGAUAGAUAGAGAAAGAGAAAGAGAGAGAGAGAGAGAGAGAGAGAGAGAGAGAGAGAGAGAGAGAGAGAGAGAGCGCAAAGUAUCCUCUUAAUUGAUAUGCAAGCUUCAAGAGCUCUACCGACGAGCUAUCGCGGUGCUAAACUAAAUUACUUUUCAAGGUUCAAGGAUGCUUGUAAAUAUUAAAAUAUAUCUACUCGAAAGUAUACUUGGUACAUUUUCAGACGGACUAAGAUGUUUUCUACGCUUCGUUCAUUCAGAGAGAGAGAAAAAAAAAAAGAAA